GAAGAGGUUCCUGACCCAGAUCGCUUCAGACUGCCAUGUGCAUAAACCACCUUGGAUUUUGCUUAAAGCCAGAUUCUGUCAUAAGAGGUCCUGGUGGGAGUCAAGACUGCAUCUGUGAUAGGUGAUGUCCAUCAAGUCAGCCUCAAGCAAGGUCCUAGAGGACAGAAGUCCAGUAUUUGCAGCAGAUAAGAUGAACUGAGAAGCCAAAUGGUUUCAGAGGGUUGCUCCUUGAUCAUUGUGAUGGGAAGCAUGCUGGCAGGCAGGCAGGCAUGGUGCUGGAGAAGUCGUUGAGAGCUCACAUCUGAUCUACAUGUUGCAGAUCCUCUGGACGUCAGCAUGGAUCAGAGCCACCGUGUGAUGGAUCCCAUUUGCCAUUCUGGAAGCCUGGCCGGGAGCCGAUGAGUAUUUGUGCUGCUGGGACCUUGCACUUGGCUUCCUCAUCCUCCCCGCAGAAUGAUGAAUCUACCAGCCUGGCCCGAAACAUUAACCCUUUAUCUCCAGUUCCCCAUCUUCCUCUCUGAGUGACCCUAGGACUCGUAAUGUCCUGCUUUUGCUCUCAUGGCAACUCCUCAGAUGCCUCUCUCAUGUGUAUGAGGGGAAAGCAUUCAUGGGGCUUCCAUACGACCCAAAAGCAUGGGUCUAUAGCUCCAGCAGAAAGCAGCCACACCCCAAUCCCAUCCCUUUGGGUCCUCUGGAAGAUGAGGGCCUCUUGACUUCACAUCUGCCCCUCUCUAACUUGCUAUGCUCCUGAGCUUUCUGUAGUGACUGAACCAAAGAGAUCUACGUUCUCAGGCCUUCCAGAGUCUGGGACUGUGGCAGAGACACUCCCAGCAGGUUCCAGAGCAGGAGGCAUGUGGGAAUUGCUACCCUGAGUUACAUUUCCCUGCCCCCAUUUGAGGUGCUUAUCUGCAAAGAAUCAUAACUUCCCUCUGCUCCUGGAGGCAGGUCUCAAGUAAAAGCUUUGGGUGGUAGAGAGUUCAACAAAAAUGGCAGGUAUAAUUGAUCCAGCAUGUAUUAAUCAAAGUUAAAAAUAGAUAUCUGGCCGGGCAGUGGCAGUGCACGCCUUUAAUCCCAGCACUCAGGAGGCAGAGGCAGGUG